rnacentral:rRNA from 1 species
GGCUCAGGACAAACGCUGGCGGCGUGCCUAAUACAUGCAAGUCGAACGGUACCCCUUCGGGGGUAUAGUGGCGGACGGGUGAGUAACACGUAGAUGACCUGCCCAAUAGUGGGGAAUAACAUCUCGAAAGAGAUGCUAAUACCGCAUAAGCUCUUUGUUGUUGGACAAAGAGGAAAGCUCUUUCGAGGGCGCUAUAGGAGGGGUCUGCGGCGGAUUAGCUAGUUGGUGGGGUAAAGGCCUACCAAGGCGACGAUCCGUAGCUGGUCUGAGAGGACGAUCAGCCACACUGGGACUGAGACACGGCCCAGACUCCUACGGGAGGCAGCAGUAAGGAAUAUUCCACAAUGGGCGAAAGCCUGAUGGAGCGACGCCGCGUGAGGGAAGAAGGCCUUUGGGUCGUAAACCUCUUUUGUGGGGGAUGAUAAUGACAGUACCCCACGAAUAAGCCUCGGCUAACUACGUGCCAGCAGCCGCGGUAAUACGUAGGAGGCGAGCGUUGUCCGGAUUUACUGGGCGUAAAGCGCGCGCAGGCGGCACGCCAAGUACGUCGUGAAAUCUCCCUGCCUAACGGGGAGGGUGCGAUGUAAACUGGCGAGCUAGAGGACGGUAGAGGGGGGUAGAAUUGCUGGUGUAGCGGUGAAAUGCGUAGAGAUCAGCAGGAAUACCCGUGGCGAAGGCGGCCCCCUGGGCCGAACCUGACGCUGAGGCGCGAAGGCUAGGGGAGCGAACGGGAUUAGAUACCCCGGUAGUCCUAGCAGUAAACGAUGACCACUAGGUGUGGGGGGUGUUGACCCCUUCCGUGCCGAAGCUAACGCAUUAAGUGGUCCGCCUGGGGAGUACGGUCGCAAGACUAAAACUCAAAG